rnacentral:rRNA from 1 species
UACGUAGGAUGCAAGCGUUGUCCGGAAUUAUUGGGCGUAAAGAGCGCGCAGGCGGUAUGACAAGUCAGAUGUGAAAGAGGCCGGCUUAACCGGCAAGGGUCAUUUGGAACUGUCAGACUAGAGUGCAGCAGAGGAUAGUGGAAUUCCCGGUGUAGUGGUGAAAUGCGUAGAUAUCGGGAGGAACACCAGUGGCGAAGGCGACUAUCUGGGCUGCAACUGACGCUGAGGCGCGAAGGCUAGGGUAGCAAACAGG